rnacentral:rRNA from 1 species
ACGAACGCUGGCGGCGUGCUUAACCCAUGCAAGUCGAACGGAAAGGCCCUGCUUUUGUGGGGUGCUCGAGUGGCGAACGGGUGAGUAACACGUGAGUAACCUGCCCUUGACUUUGGGAUAACUUCAGGAAACUGGGGCUAAUACCGGAUAGGAGCUCCUGCUGCAUGGUGGGGGUUGGAAAGUUUCGGCGGUUGGGGAUGGACUCGCGGCUUAUCAGCUUGUUGGUGGGGUAGUGGCUUACCAAGGCUUUGACGGGUAGCCGGCCUGAGAGGGUGACCGGCCACAUUGGGACUGAGAUACGGCCCAGACUCCUACGGGAGGCAGCAGUGGGGAAUAUUGCACAAUGGGCGGAAGCCUGAUGCAGCAACGCCGCGUGCGAGAUGACGGCCUUCGGGUUGUAAACCGCUUUCGCCUGUGACGAAGCGUGAGUGACGGUAAUGGGUAAAGAAGCACCGGCUAACUACGUG